CACGUAGGGGGCAAGCGUUGUCCGGAAUUAUUGGGCGUAAAGAGCUCGUAGGCGGUCUGUCGCGUCGAUCGUGAAAACUUGGGGCUUAACCCUGAGCUUGCGGUCGAUACGGGCAUGACUGGAGUUCGGCAGGGGAGACUGGAAUUCCUGGUGUAGCGGUGAAAUGCGCAGAUAUCAGGAGGAACACCGGUGGCGAAGGCGGGUCUCUGGGCCGAUACUGACGCUGAGGAGCGAAAGCGUGGGGAGCGAACAGG
rnacentral:rRNA from 1 species